CCCGGUUCUUUGGGAGAUAGCGGGUAGUAAAUCCUGUUCCCCAAAAGGGGACAGCGAAGGACACUUUGCGGGAAGUGUAUCAGAUUUAAUUACCUUUGCUCAUUUCUGAUACCUUCCCGCUGGUGUCCUCACGAAGGGAUACUUU
rnacentral:misc_RNA from 1 species